AUGGAAUCAUAAAUGCUUUAUACAAAUCAGAGAAGGCAGAAAAAGAACGGAACACAAAGAAAAACGUCUCUGGGUUCCGAGACUUCCACUCUCGUCCCAGCCCUGCCCCUGGUCCGGACAUGAGACCCUGUCAAUCAAUCCCAAGGGCGUUGCCCUCCCUGAUGCAGGCCCCAGCCCGGCGAUCGCCCCUCCGCUCCCCAGCCGUGGAACUCUCCCCGCCUCUGAGCUCGCAGAGAGCAGCUGUCUCCUGGGGCAGCACCGGCGGGGGAAGCAGAGCGCUUUCUGGGAGCCAUCACGGGAACGAGUGAAGAAGGCCGGGAGCUUAGCUGCCUGCUCGGCAAUGUCCCAGCGCUGCCCCCAUGCGGCCUCCUGCCAUCCAGGUCCCCUCCAGGCCCACAGCUCCCCGACUCGGCCCCGCAGAGACUGACUGUCACGAGACAGGGUCCCGCUGUGGAGUCCAGGCUGGCCUCAAACUCACAGUGAUCCUCCUGCCUCGGCCUCCCUCCUGAGUGCUGGAAUUACAGCCGUGUGCCACUGCUGCAAGGGCUAUUGAGAGAUGACUAACACUUUCAAGUUGUACUAGAUAAAACCGAGAUAAGAUUUUAAAGUGAUUUCUUUUGAAUCCAGUGUGAAUUAUUCAAUAGCUGAGCUCCCCAGAACCUUUCCCAAAGCUGGUGUGGGCCUCUGUGUCACCCAGGCCCCGCUGGAGCAGCCGGACAACAGUUGACACCCGGCCGAGGCCCUGACCCUGCAGGGUGGAAACUGCAGCAGGAGUCCAGAGGAAAGAGCUGCGCUCCCUGGACACAGCUCCCUAAGCAGGGCAGCUGCUUCUGCUGCCUCACCAGGGCAGGGGCUUCGCUGGCCUGGGCACAGGACCCCGCUCUUAUGAACUGUGCCCCGGCCGUGGGCAAAGAGAGUCAGCUAAACCAAGUUGGCUAAACAUGACAGCUGCCCCACAGGCUUGGAAGGCAACUUGACUAGCAGUGUGAGCGAUUAGACAGGACAAGAGCCUGGGGUAUUCUCUUAUGGGAUGAGGAAAGCCCAGGCUGUCCUCACUUCUGAAACUCGUGGCAAUCAUCAGGAAAGAGCAGCUGUCAAACUCGCCUCCUGCUCCAGUGGGGCCACCAGGCUGCAGCAGUCAUUCCUUAAUUGGUUUAUUAAUCUUCUAAGACGGUAGCCG
rnacentral:lncRNA from 1 species